AUUGAACGCUGGCGGAAUGCUUUACACAUGCAAGUCGAACGGCAGCACGGGGGCAACCCUGGUGGCGAGUGGCGAACGGGUGAGUAAUACAUCGGAACGUGCCCGGUCGUGGGGGAUAACGUAGCGAAAGUUACGCUAAUACCGCAUACGAUCUGAGGAUGAAAGCGGGGGACCUUCGGGCCUCGCGCGAUCGGAGCGGCCGAUGUCAGAUUAGGUAGUCGGUGGGGUAAAGGCCUACCAAGCCGACGAUCUGUAGCUGGUCUGAGAGGACGACCAGCCACACUGGGACUGAGACACGGCCCAGACUCCUACGGGAGGCAGCAGUGGGGAAUUUUGGACAAUGGGCGCAAGCCUGAUCCAGCCAUUCCGCGUGCAGGACGAAGGCCUUCGGGUUGUAAACUGCUUUUGUAUGGAACGAAAAGGCUCUGGCUAAUACCUGGGGCUCAUGACGGUACCGUAAGAAUAAGCACCGGCUAACUACGUG
rnacentral:rRNA from 1 species